CAGGAGCCUGGUGGAGACAGCUGGGACAUGGCAGAAUGGAGGGGUUCCAGACACUUGCUCCUGCAAAUGGUCCUCGUCAUCCACCAGAGCCAGCCCCACCAUCUCACUGCUGCCUCCACACUCAGCUAAGACCAGGGGUAUUGUCCAGCCUCCUUGUGCCAAAGACAUCUCAGCCCCAGACAUCUGAGGAGAAAGGAUGGGUUGCAGAUGCCUCCUAAGGACGCUAGAGGGCUCAGGCAGCCUUCAGGUCCUGUGUUACUCAUUCCUCUACUCCCAGAUCCUGAAAUUUGGGCUAGAAACAACCACACUUUCCCCCCUCAGAGGUGUCUGGAAGAGCAAAUAUGAGUGGGCUUUAGCUAAAAAUAAAGUUACAUUCAUGUGCAAGAA